CCCAACUCGCCAGAGAACUACGAGCAAUGCUUAAAACUCAAAGGACUUGACGGUUCCCCAUAUCCACCUAGAGGAGCCUGUCCUAUAAUUGAUAAUCCCCACUAAACCUCACCCCUUUUAGCUUAUCAGCCUGUAUACUUCCGUCGUCAACUUACCACGUGAGCGCAACUCAGUAGGUUCCAUCGCCUCAACCGCACAAACGCCAGGUCAAGGUGCAGCAAAUAAAGGGGGAAGAGAUGGGCUACAUUCUCUAACAUAGAGUAUACGAAAGGCUAAAAUGAAACCUUAGCCAGAAGGCGGAUUUAGUAGUAAAGAAUGAAUAGAGUGCAUUCUUUAACAAGGCACUGGAGUGCGUACACACCGCCCGUCACCCUCCUCAAAAAAUCUACACUAGUACCUAACACCUAAACAACUAAAAGAGGAGGCAAGUCGUAACA
rnacentral:rRNA from 1 species